UACGUAGGGUGCAAGCGUUGUCCGGAAUUAUUGGGCGUAAAGAGCUCGUAGGCGGUCUGUCGCGUCGGCUGUGAAAACCCGGGGCUCAACCCCGGGCCUGCAGUCGAUACGGGCAGACUAGAGUGCGGUAGGGGAAGACUGGAAUUCCUGGUGUAGCGGUGAAAUGCGCAGAUAUCAGGAGGAACACCUGUGGCGAAAGCGGCUCACUGGACCAUAACUGACGCUGAUGCACGAAAGCUAGGGGGAGCAAACAGG
rnacentral:rRNA from 1 species